rnacentral:rRNA from 1 species
GACGAACGCUGGCGGCGUGCUUAACACAUGCAAGUCGAACGGAAAGGCCCUGCUUUUGUGGGGUGCUCGAGUGGCGAACGGGUGAGUAACACGUGAGUAACCUGCCCUUGACUUUGGGAUAACUGCAGGAAACUGGGGCUAAUACCGGAUAGGAGCUCCUGCUGCAUGGUGGGGGUUGGAAAGUUUCGGCGGUUGGGGAUGGACUCGCGGCUUAUCAGCUUGUUGGUGGGGGAGUGGCUGACCAAGGCUUUGACGGGUAGCCGGCCUGAGAGGGUGACCGGCCACAUUGGGCCUGAGAUACGGCCCAGACUCCUACGGGAGGCAGCAGUGGGGAAUAUUGCACAAUGGGCGGAAGCCUGAUGCAGCAACGCCGCGUGCGGGAUGACGGCCUUCGGGUUGUAAACCGCUUUCGCCUGUGACGAAGCGUGAGUGACGGUAAUGGGUAAAGAAGCACCGGCUAACUACGUG